rnacentral:tRNA from 1 species
GAUAUAGCUCAGUUGGUAGAGUACUUGUUUCACAUGCACAAGGCAUUGGGUUCAACCCCCAGUAUC